CUAUUCCUCUUGCUUUUUUUCUGUGCUUAUCAAGAAAGUCUAUACAAGGAAGAUGAUGGCUGUGGUAAUGUGCUAUGAGUUAAAUUGUGUCCCUCUCAAAAAUUAUGUUGAAGUUUUAACUCUUGGUACCUGUGAAUGUGAUCUUUUUUGGACACUGGGUCUCUACAGAUGUUAUCAAGUUCAGAUGAGGUCAUUAGGGUGAGCUCUAGUCCAAUAAAACUGAUGUCCUUCCAAGAGGAGGAGAGUGUCAUGUGAUGACAGGACAAGAGAUUGGAGCCAUUCAACUGGAAGCCAAGGAAUGCCAAGGAUUACAGGGACUGGUAGAAGCUGGAAGUGGCAAAGAAGGAUUAUACUCAUGGUCUCAGAGAGAGUGUGAGCCUGCUGACAUAGAUUGCAGACUUCUAGACUCAGGAACUUUCAGUUGUCGUCAGAGAGACCUACAGCCCACGAUGCUGAGAAUCCUUACUGCCUGGUCGUUCACAAAAGAGUUUUCUAAACCCUGCUCUAGACUUGUACAAGAAAAUCUGUAUGUGAGUUUUGGUUCUUCUGCCUUCCUAAAUCAAAACUUGGGACAUUCCCUUAGGGUCCACGUUAAAGGCUGCUGGAUCAUAAAAAAUGUGCGCUCAUUUUAUUAGAGCUCCCUUGAUUGCUUGCUGUAGGCAUAUGGGGUUACAUGAUAAGAUACAAGAACAGAAGCUGGGAACUCUCUUUUAGGUAGGAUUGUGCUUGGGAAGCGGGACUUCCCAGGUGGCAUUCGUGGAGAGUGGACACCACUGAAGAGAUUUAGCACGCACGAGCUUAGGAGCAGUCGUGUGCUGGAAGUGGCUAUCCUGGUUCAUGAGAUAAAUAACUGUUUAUCUAACUGUUAAAUAAUCAGAAAUUUUGUAAGCUGGUUAUUAAGAAUUGCCAUAAUAAAAAUGAAGUUACAUGUGUAUAGUUAAUAAAA
ensembl:lncRNA